rnacentral:rRNA from 1 species
UACAGAGGGGGCAAGCGUUGUUCGGAAUUAUUGGGCGUAAAGAGCUCGUAGGCGGUUUGUCGCGUCGAAUGUGAAAACCCGGGGCUCAACCCCGGGCCUGCAUUCGAUACGGGCAGACUAGAGUUCGGUAGGGGAGUCUGGAAUUCCUGGUGUAGCGGUGAAAUGCGCAGAUAUCAGGAGGAACACCGAUGGCGAAGGCAGGUCACUGGGCCGCAACUGACGCUGAGGAGCGAAAGCAUGGGGAGCGAACAGG